UCUCCGUUGGUGAACCAGCGGAGGGAUCAUUACUGAGUUUACGCUCUACAACCCUUUGUGAACAUACCUAUAACUGUUGCUUCGGCGGGUAGGGUCUCCGCGACCCUCCCGGCCUCCCGCCCCCGGGCGGGUCGGCGCCCGCCGGAGGAUAACCAAACUCUGAUUUAACGACGUUUCUUCUGAGUGGUACAAGCAAAUAAUCAAAACUUUUAACAACGGAUCUCUUGGUUCUGGCAUCGAUGAAGAACGCAGC
rnacentral:misc_RNA from 1 species